CUAUCCUGGUGUCACCAGUUUUCGCCGAUAGUCGUCGACAUCGUCCUCAGAGGUGGCAGCUUCAUGAUGAAUUUCAUCCAAGACAUUUGAAGGGUUCAUGGAUGAGGGCGUACAUUAUCAAUAAUUGGCGCGCAUCGUUUUUCGAAAAAAUCAACAGAUGUUCCAUGAGACUCUUGCACUAAUUGUGUUUGGGUGGUCUUUGCAAAAGCAAGAGAUGGUGCAAUAGCAAUAUCACUUAUGACAUUGGCAUUGAAUGGGUGUAUUCCACAUCGACGGAAAGCAGACUGAAUGUUCACGGGUGUAAGCGUGGCUGUGUACACCUUACAUGCAAUACAACAUACAUCAUUUUUGGUAACAACAUAACCCCCAGUAACUCUAAUAUGGUGAUGGCAUGCCGCAUUCCAUGCAUUUUCAAACGGACCGAAACACGAGACGUCCAUGGGUUGAAGUAUGUGGCUACAAUGGGGCGG